rnacentral:rRNA from 1 species
UACGUAGGGGGCAAGCGUUGUCCGGAUUUAUUGGGCGUAAAGAGCGUGUAGGCGGCUUUACAGGUCCGUUGUGAAAACUCGAGGCUCAACCUCGAGACGCCGGUGGAAACCGUAAAGCUAGAGUCCGGAAGAGGAGAGUGGAAUUCCUGGUGUAGCGGUGAAAUGCGCAGAUAUCAGGAAGAACACCCGCGGCGAAGGCGGCUCUCUGGGACGGUACUGACGCUGAGACGCGAAAGCGUGGGGAGCGAACAGG